AGUCCUACGGGGCGCAGCAGUGGGGAAUAUUGGGCAAUGGGCGCAAGCCUGACCCAGCAACGCCGCGUGAAGGAAGAAGGCUUUCGGGUUGUAAACUUCUUUUAAGAGGGACGAAGGAAGUGACGGUACCUCUUGAAUAAGCCACGGCUAACUACGUGCCAGCAGCCGCGGUAAUACGUAGGUGGCAAGCGUUAUCCGGAUUUAUUGGGUGUAAAGGGCGUGUAGGCGGGAGCGCAAGUCAGAUGUGAAAACUCAGGUCUCAACCCUGAGCCUGCAUUUGAAACUGUGUUUCUUGAUUGCUGGAG
rnacentral:rRNA from 1 species